AUGAAUUGUAUUUUGUUAUGUUGAUGGCCAUAUACACAAAUUUAAAAAAUGUAUAUUUUGGUAUAUACAUUGAUAUUUUAGGAGUGAGUAUUUAGGUAUGAACUACAUCAUUGAUAUAUAUAUUUUAUAUACAUAGGUAUCUAUUUAUUACACUAAAACUGUUUAACAAUUUUUUUUAUUAAAAAAAAACUUUUAUUUUAANGUAUUUUGUUAUGUUGAUGGCCAUAUACACAAAUUUAAAAAAUGUUUAUUUUGGUAUAUACAAUGAUAUUUUUAGAGUAAGUAUUUAGGUAUGAACUACAUGAUUUUUAUGUAUAUUUUAUACAUAGGUAUCUAUUUAUUACACUUAAACUGUUUCACAAUUUUUUUUAUUAAAAAAAAACUUUUAUUUUAACAAUGGUAUCCAUACAUUUCUAAGUGCCUAAAAGGUAACAGAUAAAUAUGAAUUACCUAUAAUUACCAUUAAUUUUUUAAGGUACCUACCAGUGGUGUGCUCAACCUUUUUCCAGUGGAGGGAGGGAUGAUCUGUAUUUUGUUAUGUUGAUGGCCAUAUACACAAAUUUAAAAAAUGUAUAUUUUGGUAUAUACAUUGAUAUUUUAGGAGUAAGUAUUUAGGUAUGAAAUACAUCAUUUAUAUAUAUAUUUUAUAUACAUAGGUAUCUAUUUAUGACACUUAAACUUUUUAACAACUUUUUUAUUAAAAAGAAUCUUAUAUGUUUGCAAUGGUAUCCAUACAUUUCUAAGUGCCUAAAAGGUAACAGAUAAAUAUGAAUUACCUAUAAUUACCAUUAAUUUUUAAGGUACCUACCAGUGAUGUGCUCAACCUUUUUCCAGUGGUGGGAGGGAUGAACUGUAUUUUGUUAUGUUGAUGGCCAUAUACACAAAUUUAAAAAAUGUAUAUUUCGGUAAAUACAAUGAUAAUUUAAGAG